UGGGGAAUAUUGCGCAAUGGGGGAAACCCUGACGCAGCGACGCCGCGUGCGGGAUGAAGGCCUUCGGGUUGUAAACCGCUUUUGAUUGGGAGCAAGCUUUCGGGUGAGUGUACCUUUCGAAUAAGCGCCGGCUAACUACGUGCCAGCAGCCGCGGUAAUACGUAGGGCGCAAGCGUUAUCCGGAAUUAUUGGGCGUAAAGAGCUUGUAGGCGGUUCGUCGCGUCUGGUGUGAAAGCCCAUCGCUUAACGGUGGGUUUGCGCCGGGUACGGGCGGGCUAGAGUGCAGUAGGGGAGACUGGAAUUCCCGGUGUAACGGUGGAAUAUGUAGAUAUCGGGAAGAACACCAAUGGCGAAGGCAGGUCUCUGGGCUGUUACUGACGCUGAGAAGCGAAAGCGUGGGGAGCGAACAGG
rnacentral:rRNA from 2 species